ensembl:lncRNA
GAAUACUCCAUUUGCUCCUUAAAAUAGACACCAUUAUCUGUUGAAUUGGCAGGAGUACAGUGAGAGAAAAAAUAAAUUUUAUCCAUGUUAUUGCUGCCUUUCACUGAUAUGUAGGUCAAAGUGUUCCAAAUAAAACAGAAGAAAACCCUGAGUUCCAGAGCAUUAGACAGAAUUCCCUUUUACAGGCAAAAAGUUGUGGGGGUCCCAAAGCCAUCUAGAUAGGGAGUGCAUUCUACCAGAUACAAAAAUGUGGCAUCUAUGGGGAAAAAAUUUUGGAAAAUAGCUUCUGUGCUCUAUCUAGGAUGUGCUCUUGGCUGGUUUUCUGUUAAUCUGUAUAACAUUCACUCAUUGGGCAAGCAGACAGCCAUGAAUUUUUGCCUUGUAAUGUUUGCAGACAUCCAAGUUGAGGGCAUCUGGAGAGAGGUUCCAUUCAGGAUGCUCAGAAGAAACAGCUCUGCACGCAGGAAGCUGGAGAUCCCAUUUUCUUCUGUUAAUGAGAACAAAGGUAUCUCCUAGCAACCUUUGUCCAGGAGAAGUUAAAUAAAUUGCAGUGAUCCUAUGCUGAUAAUUCA